rnacentral:tRNA from 1 species
GAAGAUAUAGCUCAGUGGUGGAGCACAUGUCUAGCAUGCAUGAGGUCCUGGGUUCAAUCCCCAGUACUUCCA